rnacentral:rRNA from 1 species
AGCAGCAGUGGGGAAUAUUGCACAAUGGGCGCAAGCCUGAUGCAGCCAUGCCGCGUGUAUGAAGAAGGCCUUCGGGUUGUAAAGUACUUUCAGCAGUGAGGAAGGAGGUAUCGUUAAUAGCGGUAUCUUUUGACGUUAGCUGCAGAAGAAGCACCGGCUAACUCCGUGCCAGCAGCCGCGGUAAUACGGAGGGUGCGAGCGUUAAUCGGAAUUACUGGGCGUAAAGCGCAUGCAGGUGGUUUGUUAAGUCAGAUGUGAAAGCCCGGGGCUCAACCUCGGAAUUGCAUUUGAAACUGGCAGGCUAGAGUACUGUAGAGGGGGGUAGAAUUUCAGGUGUAGCGGUGAAAUGCGUAGAGAUCUGAAGGAAUACCGGUGGCGAAGGCGGCCCCCUGGACAGAUACUGACACUCAGAUGCGAAAGCGUGGGGAGCAAACAGGAUUAGAUACCCUGGUAGUCCACGCCGUAAACGAUGUCUACUUGGAGGUUGUGGCCUUGAGCCGUGGCUUUCGGAGCUAACGCGUUAAGUAGA